rnacentral:tRNA from 1 species
AGGCGUGUAGUUCAGCUGGUUAGAACACCACUCUGAUACGGUGGAGAUCAUUGGUUCAAGUCCAAUCACGCCUACCA